CGUUUUUGAUUAUAUUUUAAGAUUUGACCUGCCCACUGAGGAUUUAAAUGGCCGCGGUAUUUUGACCGUGCAAAGGUAGCAUAAUAAUUAGUUUUUUAAUUGAAAGCUGGAAUGAAUGGUUGGACGAGAAAAUCACUGUCUCUAAUUUAUUUAAAGUAAAAUUUUAUUUUUUAGUAAAAAAGCUUAAAUGGUUUUGAAAGACGAGAAGACCCUAUAGAGUUUUAUUUUCAUUUUUUGAAUUAAUAAAAGGAAUUUGAAUUUUUUUAAUUAAGUGAAAAUUUUAUUGGGGUGAUAGAAAGAUUUAAUAAACUCUUUUUUGUUUUUUACAUUUAUAAGUGAUUAUUUGAUCCAAUUUUUUUGAUUAUAAGACUAAAUUACCUUAGGGAUAACAGCGUAAUCUUUUUAGAGAGUUCUUAUCGAAAUGAAGGGUUGCGACCUCGAUGUUGGAUUAAAGUUAAUUUUUGGUGCAGGUGCUAAAAAAUUAAGUCUGUUCGACUUUUAAAACUUUACAUGAUCUGAGUUUAAACCGGCGUGAGCCAGGUUGGUUUCUAUCUUUAAUUUUUUAUUAUAUUUUAGUACGAAAGGACCAAGUAUAGAAUAUUUUUAUUUUUGUAUUGAAUUUCAUUAAUGUUACUUUGGCAGAUUAGUGCGUUAGAUUUAGAAUCUUUUUAUGUAAUUUUUUUACAGGUAAUAUUUGUUUUUGAUUGAUUUUUUUUUAGUUUUUUUAAAUAUACUGUUGUUAGCUGUUUGUGUGUUAAUUGGGGUAGCUUUUUUUACUUUACUUGAGCGUAAGGUUUUGGGGUAUAUUCAAAUUCGAAAGGG
rnacentral:rRNA from 1 species